rnacentral:rRNA from 1 species
GUGGGGAAUUUUGGACAAUGGGCGCAAGUCUGAUCCAGCAAUGCCGCGUGCAGGAAGAAGGCCUUCGGGUUGUAAACUGCUUUUGUACGGAACGAAACGGUCCUGGUUAAUACCUGGGGCUAAUGACGGUACCGUAAGAAUAAGCACCGGCUAACUACGUGCCAGCAGCCGCGGUAAUACGUAGGGUGCAAGCGUUAAUCGGAAUUACUGGGCGUAAAGCGUGCGCAGGCGGUUUUGUAAGACAGGCGUGAAAUCCCCGGGCUCAACCUGGGAAUUGCGCUUGUGACUGCAAGGCUGGAGUGCGGCAGAGGGGGAUGGAAUUCCGCGUGUAGCAGUGAAAUGCGUAGAUAUGCGGAGGAACACCGAUGGCGAAGGCAAUCCCCUGGGCCUGCACUGACGCUCAUGCACGAAAGCGUGGGGAGCAAACAGGAUUAGAUACCCGAGUAGUCC